rnacentral:rRNA from 1 species
ACUGCUCAGUAACACGUAGUCAACAUGCCCAGGGGACGUGGAUAACCUCGGGAAACUGAGGAUAAACCGCGAUAGGUCAUAAUGUCUGGAAUGAUUUAUGGCUAGAAUCUACAUGGCCCCUGGAUUGGACUGCGGCCGAUCAGGCUGUUGGUGAGGUAAUGGCCCACCAAACCUAAAACCGGUACGGGCUCUGAGAGGAGAAGCCCGGAGAUGGGCACUGAGACAAGGGCCCAGGCCCUAUGGGGCGCAGCAGGCGCGAAAACUCUGCAAUAAGCGAAAGCUUGACAGGGUUAUUCUGAGUGAUUUCCGCUAAGGAGAUCUUUUGGCACCUCUAAAAAUGGUGCAGAAUAAGGGGUGGGCAAGCCUGGUGUCAGCCGCCGCGGUAAUACCAGCACCCCGAGUGGUCGGGACGAUUAUUGGGCCUAAAGCAUCCGUAGCCGGUUCUACAAGUCUUCCGUUAAAUCCACCUGCUUAACAGUUGGGCUGCAGAGGAUACUAUAGAGCUAGGAGGCGGGAGAGGCAAGCGGUACUUAGUGGGUAGGGGUAAAAUCCGUUGAUCCACUGAAGACCACCAGUGGCGAAGGCGGCUUGCCAGAACGCGCUCGACGGUGAGGGAUGAAAGCUGGGGGAGCAAACCGGAUUAGAUACCCGGGUAGUCCCAGCUGUAAACGAUGCAGACUCGGUGAUGAAUAGGCUUCGUGCCUAUUCAGUGCCGCAGGGAAGCCGUUAAGUCUGCCGCCUGGGGAGUACGGGCGCAAGACUGAAACUUAAAGGAAUUGGCGGGGGAGCAC